rnacentral:lncRNA from 1 species
GAAAUGAUGAACUGGAGGAAUCUCAUGUGAACUGGAACAACCUCCAGGAAUUAAUGCAGAGCGAGAGGAGCAGAACCAGGAGAACAUUGUACACAGAGACUGACACACUGUGGUACAAUCAAAUGUAAUGGACUUCUCUACCAGCAGCAAUGCAGUAACCCAAGACAAUUCUGAGGGACUUUUUAGAAAAAAUGUGAUCCACAUCCAGAGGAAGAACUGUGAAAAAAGAAAGAGCUGGAAAGAUCUACAUGAACUGAAGCAGAGAGAAAUAAGUAGAACCAGGAGAACAUCAUACACAGUAACAGCAAUAUUGUGGAAAGAUCAACUGUGAUUGACUUAGCUAUUAUCGCCACUACAAUGAUCCAGGACAAUUCUUUGGGACUAAUGACAAAGAAUGCUAUCCACCUCCAGAGAAAGAACUAUUGGAGUCAGGAUGCAAAUGAAGGCAUACAAUUUUUCCAUUGUUUAUUAGGGUGUGUGUUUUGGGGUUUUGUUUUUAUAAGAUUUCUCACUUACAAAAGUGAAUAUGGACAUGUGUUUUGCAUGAUAAUACAUGUAUAACCCAGAUAAAAUCACCUGCCAGCACCAGGUCAGGGAAGUGAAGGAAGAGAAAUAAGUUUAGUCAUAUUUGAGAGAGAGAGAAAAAAAAGAAGAAGAAGGGAGGGAGGGAGAGAGAGAAAGAGAAGAAGGAGAGAGAGAAAGAGAGAGAGAGAGAGAGAGAGAGAGAGAGAGAGAGAGAGAGAGAGAGAGAGAGAGAGAGAGGAAGGAAGAGAGAGAAGAAGGAAGGGAGAGAAAGAGAGAAGGGGUAGAGAGAGAGAGAGAGAAAGAAAGAUGCUAAAAAAGUAAAAUUAUUCCUUAGUAGCUCAUUUCCCUGGAAGAUCACCCUCAUCAACUACCUCAUGUCAUUUUAAGUUUUAGUAAUGCCUUUUGAUUUUCACACUACAAUCAUUUCCCAAUAUAGUGUACACUCCACUAUCCCACCCACACAGACCCCUCCCUGGGCAAAACCUACCAAGGUACAGCAUAGGUAGUCUUCCACCCCUGCAUCCUCCCAUCUCUGUACCAAGAAGAAGGAAUUCUAUUUCAUCAUUUGUCCUGCGAGGCCACUAUUAAUCAUUAUAAAAUGUAUAUAUGCACAUAUAUUCCUUUCAUACACACACACACAUAUAUAUGAAAUAUCUGAGACCAGAUUUGCCCGAUCUAGCUCUCUCUCUGCUGAGCCACCUAGCUGCCCUGAUCAUAUUGAAUCUGGAUUCAGCUGUCACUUUGUAAUAAUGGAAAUUGGGGCUGAGGGGUAAAGACACUUGUCUGUAGGCAGAAUGGGGGCUUGAGCCAAUGACUUCAAACCCAAAAUCCAGCCACAAUUCUGCUCUCCCUUUUUUUUUUAACCUUCAUGAAGAACAAUCGUAGAGAACUUUUUCAAAUACCCUAUAAGCUUAUCUCGCUAAGAAAAGGACAAAUACACAGUUCAUUAUUUCACAGAGAGUAACCACCAACUCUCACUGGCGAUCUGCCCACCAAAAAGAGAUGCUUGAUAGAUUAUCAACUUUACAAAUAUAGGGUAUAUAUCCGGUAUGAUGAGAUUGUGGGCAAGCAUGCUAAUGGGCUUAAUUGCUAUACCACAGAGGCAUUGCUAAAUGAAAAAACAUCUGCCCAAGUAAGAGUUAGAUCUGUGCCAUAUUUGUACAUAGCGUCAUCAUUCAUUUCACUGUGAGCCAUAUGGGCUCCCAAAACUAAGUAAGCCCUUCAAACUAAGUCCUAAAUCUAACCUCUUUUCUUCUGCACAAUGGGCAUCUCAUUUCUUAGUUAAAAUGUAGACUUCCAACUAUAUAUUUUAGGCUCCAUGGAAUAUCAUCUGUGUUUUUAUUCCCAAAGGUCUGUGCCUCAUCUAGCUAUCCAAAUCCAGGCCUGAAAUUAAUAAGCUUUUUUUUUUCUUUUAAAACCCUCAUCUUCUUUUUUUAGAAUCAAUACUCAAGUGACUUGUCUAGGGUCACACAGCUAGGAAGUGUCUGAGGCAAGAUUUUGAACCUAGGACCUCCCAUCUCUAGGUCUGACUCUCAAUCCACUAAGCCACUCAGCUGCUCCUUCAUAAGUUUUUUGAUGAACAAGAAUGAUUAAACUUUUUUCUUUAUGGUCCCAGAGAACAAGUAGAUAGUAUUUUGUAGGUAGACUGGCCCUGGAUAUCCAGUCAUCACUAUCCAAUAGGAAAACUGGUAAAUUAGUGAGUUCUCUCUUUUAGAAGGGACAAAGGUAAAAUAAAACUCUUUAAGAGUUUUGUGUCCUUCUCA